GACGAACGCUGGCGGCGUGCUUAACACAUGCAAGUCGAACGGAAAGGCUCCAGCUUGCUGGAGUACUCGAGUGGCGAACGGGUGAGUAACACGUGGGUAAUCUGCCCUGCACUCUGGGAUAAGCCUGGGAAACUGGGUCUAAUACUGGAUUUGCCCUUUCUCCUUUUGGGUUUGGGUGGAAUGUUUUUCGGUGUAGGAUGAGCCCGCGGCCUAUCAGCUUGUUGGUGGGGUGAUGGCCUACCAAGGCGACGACGGGUAGCCGGCCUGAGAGGGUGAUCGGCCACAUUGGGACUGAGAUACGGCCCAGACUCCUACGGGAGGCAGCAGUGGGGAAUAUUGCACAAUGGGCGGAAGCCUGAUGCAGCGACGCCGCGUGAGGGAUGACGGCCUUCGGGUUGUAAACCUCUUUCAGCAGGGACGAAGCGUAAGUGACGGUACCUGCAGAAGAAGCACCGGCUAACUAUGUG
rnacentral:rRNA from 1 species